UUACGGCCACAUCACGUUGGAACACCGGUUCCCAUAUGAUCACGGAAGUUAAGCAACAUGAAGACUGGUCAAAACCUAGAUGAGUGACCGCUUAGGAAUAUCAGGUACUGUAAG